rnacentral:rRNA from 1 species
CAAUAGCGUAUAUUAAAGUUGUUGCGGUAAAAAAGCUCGUAGUUGGAUUUCUGUUGAGAGCGACCGGUCCAUACCAUGUAUGCGUAUCUGGCUUGCUCUCGGCAUCUUCUCGAUAGACGUUACUGCGCUUGAUUGCGUGGUGCGGAUCUCGGGACUUUUACUUUGAGGAAAUUAGAGUGUUCACGGCAGGCUUUCGCCAGAAUACAUUAGCAUGGAAUAAUACUAUAGGAUCUUGGUUCUAUUUUGUUGGUUUCUAGAAUUGAGAUAAUGAUUAAUAGGGACAAUUGGGGGCAUUCGUAUCAACACGUCAGAGGUGGAAUUCUUGGAUUGUGUUGCGACGAACUACUGCGAAAGCAUUUGCCAAGGAUGUUUUCAUUGA